UUGUUUUGAAUUAAGCAUUUCUUAGGUUAGAAAUGAGAGAUUUCGGGUUACGUACGCUUAACUUUGUAGGUUUAUUUGAAAAACAAUUAAUACAGGAACUUGAUCCACCCCUAUGACGAGAUAUGUGCGAUAUUUAUAAAAUGGGAUGAAAUAAACUUGUAAAAUACCUGAAGUCAUUGGCAAGUUCAGGCAACGUUACUUAACGACAGAUACCUUCGCUGAUACAAAUAUUCUGCAUGAGCAUGAAUAAGCAUAAUGGAUUAUCGGAAGCCCCGUUUGAAGAUUAUUUAUUAUAAGUUUCAGCCUUUUACGAAGAGAAAUAUGUUUCGUACAACAUAUGUGGUAUUGUCGAAGUUGUGCCACGAUACAAAACAAUAACAUAUUGUAAACUCGUUGACAAUAAAGGAUACAAAUUGUCGUAGCACUUAACCACA